AUGGAUCUGUAUGUAUCCCUCCUGGUUUCAGCAUGUAAAAGAACUGAACGACAAGAUUCGCCAACAGAUUUUCUAGCUUGGUCUUGUUUUAAGUCCCAAAAAGUCGCUAAAUUUAUUACAUCAAAACCGGCCCUACACUCAAGUGGAGUUCUAGUUUCGCUUGUUACAAUUAUCCCUCUACCCCGAGUAGCUCUCACGAGACUUGUAGCGUUUGUAAUCAAAUUUCUCCUGUUGGACACAUCUCGAAGUCCAGAAGAAUAUGAUAUUUCUAUACCAAUGUCUCUUGAAACAGCCAAACCCAUGAAUGUAUGUUUCAAAUAAAAGGGAAGUCUCUGAGUAAAAUCUAUGGACAAAAUGUCAAAUUCUAAAUCACUGCAUGUUUGUUGCAGCAAUCUGUCUCCAAUUGGUCGUAUGGCUAAGAUAUCAAAUUCUUUUGUUACGUUAGACUAAGGCAAUGUUAGGCAGAGAUAUUCAAAUGGUUUUAAUCAUUUUUAAAUGUUUAAACAUGAACGUACCAACACUUUGUUUUGAGGCAUCGACUCGAUUGUUAGAGUGAUUCGAGAAUAGAUUUUUAUUUUUUGCUCAGGGUAUAGCUCCUUAACAAUAGGAUUUUUCUAAGUUAGUAAGUAUACACGUAUUUGAUUUAAAAACCAUACUAUAACAUUUUGCAAUUUUCCAUCAUAUUGAUAAUUAAGUGCAAUGGCCGUGUAGCCCACUUUUUGAAGGUAAGUAAAAUUAAUCAUGGAUAUUCUUAGUACAUACGCCGCUCAAGUGUUUUUACUGUUUUAACAAGAUUUAAAUCUUUAACGCCCAGAGUUGGCCAGACAACAUUCAAGUCAAUAAACAUUUCUCCCCCAAAGCAACAAUUUGAAAGUUGCCAGUACUAUAAGCACCUCUAGCUUCAGGUUUCAUGGAUAACGUACGGUAACGAUACGAGAAAACAAUUGUAAUACCAAAAGCAUUAUUUACCUUACAUUUUCAUUUAAAUAAAAAACGGUCUUAAUUUAGAUUGCAGUUUAGUUCUAUCGAAAUUUUUUUUUAAUUUUAUUUUUCAGGUUGAGUAAAAUGAUCGGUUGAAGGAUGAAUGUUUUGCUUCAAAGUGCAAUCUAUUAUAAUACAACCUGCUUCUUACCAAACAACAGGUACCGCUUACUUAGAAGUUAGAAUUGUUCCAUUACAACAUAAUUAUUGACGGUUGGAUUGCCAGCUUGUAAUUAAUAAACCAGCAUAUUGACUAAUGCGAUGCUUCAUUUUGAUGUAAAAGAUUUAUAUAAAUAAUCUAUAAGUGUUAUAGAUUUCCCUAUACUGAUGAAUGGCAGCUAGGGACCAAAAGUGAAAUAUAACGUUGAGCUUUUAAUUCGUUGAUUUAUGAGUGCCUCUGCGUAUAUGGAUUAAAUUACGGGUUAAAAGGAACGCAUAGAUAGUGGCAGAGAAUAUGCAAAGUGUUAGCCAGAACUUAAUCUGUUGUUUCUCAUCCAACAUUUUCGUCAACUUAACUCAAUGAGAAGGUGGAGUAGAGCGGAGAUUUGUUAGCUUUAUUUUCAAAGUAGGUCCCUUUGGUUUAAUAGGAUUGAUUGUUAUUGACGGGGGAGUAGGACUCGUGGACUUUUCUUUUGUUUUGCUAGUUAUUUGCUUCAAGGGAGCUUU